CCUGACGCAGCGACGCCGCGUGGGGGAUGACGGCCUUCGGGUUGUAAACCUCUUUCGGCCCCGACGAAGCGUGAGUGACGGUAGGGGUAGAAGAAGCACCGGCCAACUACGUGCCAGCAGCCGCGGUAACACGUAGGGUGCGAGCGUUGUCCGGAAUUAUUGGGCGUAAAGAGCUCGUAGGCGGUGUGUCGCGCCGGCCGUGAAAACCUGCAGCUUAACUGUGGGCUUGCGGUCGAUACGGGCAUCACUGGAGUUCGGCAGGGGAGACUGGAAUUCCUGGUGCAGCGGUGGAAUGCGCAGAUAUCAGGAGGAACACCGGUGGCGAAGGCGGGUCUCUGGGCCGAUACUGACGCUGAGGAGCGAAAGCGUGGGGAGCGAACAGGAUUAGAUACCCUGGUAGUCCACGCCGUAAACGUUGGGCGCUAGGUGUGGGGGCCAUUCCACGGUCUCUGUGCCGUAGCUAACGCAUUAAGCGCCCCGCCUGGGGAGUACGGCCGCAAG
rnacentral:rRNA from 1 species